rnacentral:rRNA from 1 species
AUUGAACGCUGGCGGCAUGCCUUACACAUGCAAGUCGAACGGCAGCACGGGAGCUUGCUCCUGGUGGCGAGUGGCGAACGGGUGAGUAAUGCAUCGGAACGUGCCCUGAAGUGGGGGAUAACGUAGCGAAAGUUACGCUAAUACCGCAUAUUCUGUGAGCAGGAAAGCAGGGGAUCUUCGGACCUUGCGCUUUUGGAGCGGCCGAUGUCGGAUUAGCUAGUUGGUGGGUAAAGGCCCACCAAGGCGACGAUCCGUAGCGGGUCUGAGAGGAUGAUCCGCCACACUGGAACUGAGACACGGUCCAGACUCCUACGGAGGCAGCAGUGGGGAAUUUUGGACAAUGGGCGCAAGCCUGAUCCAGCCAUGCCGCGUGAGUGAAGAAGGCC